GCUGGGCACAGUGGCGCAUGCCUGUAAUCCCAGCAGCUCGGGAGGAUGAGGCAGAGGGAUCGCUAGUUCAAUGCCAGCCUCAGCAAAAGUGAGAUGCUAAGCAACUCAGUGAGACCCUAUCUCUA
rnacentral:sRNA from 1 species